UAUUUGCAGUGUAGUUGGCC
rnacentral:misc_RNA from 1 species